rnacentral:misc_RNA from 1 species
AACGCACAUUGCGCUCUCUGGUAUUCCGGAGAGCAUGCUUGUUUGAGUAUCAGUAAAACACCCUCAGCUCCCCCGCUUCUUAGGAAGAGAGGAGGCUGGACUUGAGAGAUCCCAACGGCAGUGAGAACUGCUGGCGGGUCACUUGAAAUGCAGGUGCGGCUGGACACAUCUUCUGAGCUAUAAGCAUUACUUAUUUAGUCCCGUAAAACGGAUUAUAUCUAUUGCUGCAGCUAACAUAAAGGUCGAUUGUUCUUGUGCCCGACUGAUGCAGGAAAAUGAAGGCGUCUAAUAGCGUCCUUUGUUCAACUCGAUCUCAAAUCAAGCAAGACUACCCGCUGAACUUAA